GCUGGCCAGGCCUCCUUGUGCCUCUCCGAGAGGCCACCUGGAGAGAAGAGGCCAGGCUGGGCUCAGGCAACAGCGGGAGCCCACUGGACUCCUUCAGUGUCCAAUCACCCUUCCCCAGUCCCCAAGGCCACCUCUCUGCCUUGGUUUCCUCCUCGUUCCUGCACCCUGCCCUGCCAAUCUCCAUCUACCUCUGCUCACAGCUCCCUCUGCCUGGAGAACUCUUCCACAGAUGGCUCCAGGUCUCGGUUCCAGUGCUGCCUCCUCCAGAAGCCCUCCCUGACCACCUGCCCCCCUCUGCUGUUUUCUCCCUCCCUGUAACUGUCUGGAGAUUCUGCUGGCUGACUCGUCUGCCUCGUCACCCAUGGGGGCCCCCAGAGGGAGCUGCACCUCAUCCUCCCCGACUUACCACGAGCUGGGCGCUCCUCUGCAGUUCCAAGGCCUGGGCCGCCUGCUGCUGCAGUUUUUGGGCAGGAGCUCAUUGCAACAAGGACCCCAAGGCUUUACAACACUGGCAACAGAUGUUCUCUCUGAACCCCGGUCCGCCUCCCCAGCCCCCAGAUCUG
rnacentral:lncRNA from 1 species